AUUGAACGCUGGCGGCAGGCCUAACACAUGCAAGUCGAACGAGUUGCGGACGGGUGAGUAAUGUCUGGGAAACUGCCUGAUGGAGGGGGAUAACUACUGGAAACGGUAGCUAAUCCCGCAUACCAUCAGAUGUGCCCAGAUGGGAUUAGCUAGUAGGUGGGGUAAUGGCUCACCUAGGCGACGAUCCCUAGCUGGUCUGAGAGGAUGCCCAGCCACGAGGGAACGUAGACACGGUCCAGACUCCGACGCGAGGCAGCAGUGGGGAAUAUGGCACAAUGGGCGCGAGCCUGAUGCAGCCAUGCCGCGUGUAUGAAGAAGGCCUUCGGGUUGUAAAGCACUUUCAGCGAGGAGGCGUUACUCACAGAAGAAGCACCGGCUAACUCCGUGCCAGCAGCCGCGGUAAUAC
rnacentral:rRNA from 1 species